UCUGCAAUAAAGGCACACCAGACCACUGUGCUUGGUUUCAUCAGAUACUGUCUUCAGGUUCCAGUCUCCCACCAAGGAGACCCCAACAAGUGGCGCCCAAACAGGGACCUGAACAUUAGUGGCUCAGGUGGUAUCAACGGAAACCACGCUCCCUCUGGAGACUCCCCGACCAGUUUGGGUCCAAACUUUUGAAAUAAAUGUGUGGGAACAUGCUCAAUUAUUAAUUCAGGGUCAAGGUUAUGCUUGUGUUUCUUUAGAGAAUGGAUCCAAUCAAGAAAUAUGGUUGCCUCUUUGGAAAGUCAGGCCCAGGGAAGCUGGCAGUAUUCAAAUUCCCAGAGCCCAGCCCUGAGGGAAUCAAGACAGCCUUGAAGGGAGAAAUGCCCCAACCUCUGGUUCAGGAAAUGGCAUCUCUAAAGAUCAAGGAAAACCGAAAACGCUCAGCUCCUCGCUAUCAGGUUGAUCCUCCCACCUGGGGCCAGAUUAAACAUUUGACUCAUGGCACUGGGCAAGUAUUGACCCUUACUUCUUUUCUCAAACACCUGAGAACCUGUUUUUGGCUAGGAUGGCUGUCAUCGCGUGUGCUUCGACUGGGGUGAGUGCUUACGAUCAUCAUUAUUGGGCUUAUGUUCCCCAUCCACCUUUAUUGAAAAUUGUAGAAUGGAAUGAGGUUGGCCCCUUAGUUUAUACUAAUGAAUCUACUUAUUUACCUCCUCCUUGGGGAAUGGGGAUUCUCACUUUUCCCUGUGAGGAGAGAACUCCUUUCAAUAUUUCUCUGGGCUAUGGGUCACUGCCUCUUUGUUUAGGGGAGGAUCCUGCUUGUUUUAAAACUCAAGGGCAGUGGUGGGCUUACAUCCUCCUUCCUGUACCGAGUUCCCACAUGAUUAUGGUAAUGUUCACAGCAAUGUCAUUGGCCAGAUCCUAUAAAUAUACCUAUAAUUCAAAAGGAGGGUCAUAUCCAGUGUGUAAAGGAUUUUCUUAUCAAAACUAUAUAUAUAAACAUAAACCUAGGUGGUCUCGAUGCCUAUCUCCCCAUGGCAAAUUAUAUUCAUUAAGUAAUUAUUCUAUAAUAGAUUGGGGUCCAAGAAGAAUGUUUUUAAAUAAUUGUAGUGAUGAUGAUAAAACUUUGUCAUAUGAUUAUGUUACACAAGUUAGUUGGAAUCGAACCACGGACUCUUUGGAUAGAAAUCAUCCUAAAGGACUUAUGGCAUGGCAUGAUGGUGGACUUUCUCCCCCUUGACCCAGGAUUGUUUUGAAUAAUGCUUCUUUGGGACCAGAACAAUAGGAACUGUGGAAAUUGACUGCCGCUACACAACCUCUUGAAUUAUGGACUGGGAAUUUUUCAGGAAAUAAAGCUCCUCACAAUAUCAAUUCCAUAAAGAAAAGGACAUUCCAAUUGCUGCCUGUGUUAAAUUACCUUAUGUAUUAGCUUUGGGAAAAUUGAAAAUCAAUGAAACCUUGAAAGCUGUUAUCUGUUAUAAUUGUGCUUUACAUACUUGUGUUCACCCUAAUCUUGAUAUUAAUCUCUCUAAUGUGUCAUUGUUGAUUUUGAAAUUGCAUAUGGGGGUAUGGGUCCCUGUAAAUUUAGAGAGGCAAUGGAAGGAGGGACUUAUGGCAGGGCUUGCCCACCACUUGUUAAAACAUUUGAUACAUCGAUCCAAGCAUUUAUAGAGUGGGUAAUUUUAGGAAUAUUAGGACUUAUUGCUAUUUGUGCCACUGCAGCAGUAGCAGGAGUUGCAUUACAACAGAGUAUCAAAAAUACUGAAUUUAUACAAAAUUGGCAAAAAGAUUCACACCAACUCUGGGCCACACAAACUUCUAUAGCCAAAGAUAUACAUAAACAAAUUGGUGAAUUACAGUGUGGGUUAAAAUGGCUUGGAGAUCAAGUGAUGGAUAUGCAGCGUCAAUUAAUGUUAAAAUGUGAUUGGGAUUCUACUCAAUUUUGUGUAACUCCUACAAAAUUUAAUGGCAGUAAAUAUACAUGGGACCAAAUUACAUUUCAUUUAUAAAAUUUAAGGGGAAAUUUUACCCUAGAUGUAAAGGAGCUCCAGGGAGAAAUAUUUGAUACUUUCAAUAAACAAUUCCCUGAAACUUCUCUCUACUUUAGCUGAUUAUAUGGCUGAUCAAUUAAGUGGUUUGGACCAUGAGGAAUUAUUCAAGGUAUAACCCAUAGUGUGGGGAAUGGGCUAAUGGUUUUAUUGAUUGUUAUUUACAUUUUUGUUAUAGGAUACUGUGUCCUCAGAAGACAAAUAAUUCAAUCUCAGUUACAUGCUACUGUUACUGCUAUGCUUGCUAUUUGGAAAAGAACUCCUCCUACAGCUACAAUAAUUUAAAGAAGGGGGAAUUGUGGAGGAUAUGAGAAGUUCUCAGGCCCUCGGACAGCCUUGGGAAGACAGAUUGUCCUGAUGUCUGUGGCAGGCCCAGAUAGAGAAGUUAAAGAUAACUUCAGAAGGCUAUUUGUCAAUCCCACAGUGUUUGUUCUGCUGUGGUCCCUUGAGACUCUCAAAUAUUUGUUUGACAUAAGAAUACAUAAGCGUAGCUAAGUUUUUAGAAGCUUUAAGUAGCCAUGAUGAUUUAGAUAAGAUGCACUAAGAUUAAAGGAGCAUAGAUGGUUCUUUAGAUGCUUUAUGUACAGAUAUAACUGGUGGUUAGUUGAUUAGCAUUGUAAAUUUUUAAUGAUUGUUGUAUCCUGCAGAAAAAUGUAUAAAAGAAAACUAUUACCAGUAAACCUGGCCUUAACUCCACACAGAGUUCUGGUCCUCCGUGCUCCUUCAUUUAAUAGGUUUCAUCAGAUACUGUCUUCAGGUUCCACUCUCCCACUGAGGAGACCCCAACAG